rnacentral:rRNA from 1 species
GAUGAACGCUAGCGGCAGGCCUAAUACAUGCAAGUCGGACGGGAUAGAGGAGCUUGCUUCUCUUGAGAGUGGCGCACGGGUGCGUAACACGUAUGUAACCUACCUUAUCCAGGGGGAUAGCCUCUCGAAAGAGAGAUUAACACCGCAUAACAUUAUUGAGUAGCAUUAUUUAAUAAUCAAAUAUUUAUAGGGAUAAGAUGGGCAUGCGGGACAUUAGCAGUUGGCGGGGUAACGG